rnacentral:rRNA from 1 species
CCUACGGGAGGCUGCAGUGGGGAAUAUUGGACAAUGGGGGCAACCCUGAUCCAGCCAUGCCGCGUGUGUGAAGAAGGCCCUCGGGUUGUAAAGCACUUUCAGUGAGGAAGAACGCCUGGUGGUUAAUACCCAUCAGGAAAGACAUCACUCACAGAAGAAGCACCGGCUAACUCCGUGCCAGCAGCCGCGGUAAUACGGAGGGUGCGGGCGUUAAUCGGAAUUACUGGGCGUAAAGCGCGCGUAGGUGGCUUGAUAAGCCGGUUGUGAAAGCCCCGGGCUCAACCUGGGAACGGCAUCCGGAACUGUCAAGCUAGAGUGCAGGAGAGGAAGGUAGAAUUCCCGGUGUAGCGGUGAAAUGCGUAGAGAUCGGGAGGAAUACCAGUGGCGAAGGCGGCCUUCUGGACUGACACUGACACUGAGGUGCGAAAGCGUGGGUAGCAAACAGGAUUAGAUACCCGAGUAGUC